GAUGAACGCUGGCGGCGUGCCUAAUACAUGCAAGUCGAGCGAACAGAUGAGGAGCUUGCUCCUUUGACGUUAGCGGCGGACGGGUGAGUAACACGUGGAUAACCUACCUAUAAGACUGGGAUAACUUCGGGAAACCGGCGCUUAUACCGGAUAAUAUAUUGAACCGCAUGGUUCAAUAGUGAAAGACGGUUUUGCUGUCACUUAUAGAUGGAUCCGCGCCGGAUUAGCUAGUUGGUAAGGUAACGGCUUACCAAGGCAACGAUGCGUAGCCGACCUGAGAGAGUGAUCGGCCACCCUGGAGCUGAGACACGGUCCAGACUCCUACGGGAGGCAGCAGUAGGGAAUCUUCCGCAGUGGGCGAAAGCCUGACGGAGCAACGCCGCGUGAGUGAUGAAGGUCUUCGGAUCGUAAAACUCUGUUAUUAGUUAAGAACAAAUGUGUAAGUAACUAUGCACGUCUUGACGGUACCUAAUCAGAAAGCCACGGCUAACUACGUG
rnacentral:rRNA from 1 species